UACGUAGGGUGCGAGCGUUGUCCGGAAUUAUUGGGCGUAAAGAGCUUGUAGGCGGUCUGUCGCGUCUGCUGUGAAAAUCCGGGGCUCAACCCCGGACUUGCAGUGGGUACGGGCAGACUAGAGUGUGGUAGGGGAGACUGGAAUUCCUGGUGUAGCGGUGAAAUGCGCAGAUAUCAGGAGGAACACCGAUGGCGAAGGCAGGUCUCUGGGCCUCUACUGACGCUGAGAAGCGAAAGCAUGGGGAGCGAACAGG
rnacentral:rRNA from 1 species